AACAGCACAGAAGAACUUCACGGCUUUGUUAGAAGUGUCCCUUUUUUGCUUCUAGGUCCUGCACCACCACCACCACCCACACUUCCCUGAAGGGAGAAGAGCUUUGUCAAAAGAUUUCCCGGGUAUGAGCUUUGACAACCUUUCCUGCCAAUGCACCUGGUGAGAAGCUUCAGUCAAUUCUUAAAAAGAAACAAAGUCAUGUGGAUCUAAGACAUAGAAAGAGUGAGCCCUGACAAGAACGCUUAGACUUGGAAUUCUCGGGAAAAAAAUGCCCAGGAGUUCAUGACUUAGGCCAGGAUGAAAAAUCACUUUGGAGUCACAGAGAGUAGCCUGAUUUAGAAAGGUAGAGACAAUGGAACCAUGGAAUUACUUGGGAACCUUCCUGAAAAGGAUAUAGCACCUUGACUAAAUCACUGAGGAUUGCGUCCCUGAGAAAGGUGAGCAAAAGGUAAAUGUGAGAGAUGUGGGUAAAGGCAGCAAGAUCAGUUACUUCUCCCUUAGGUAGCUCACUGAGGAGGAAAAACCACGGGGGUCCAGGACCUUACUCCGGUCCCUUACUAGUAGCUUGCAGUUUAGAAUGGACUGUUUGUGUAUAACAGCAAUUGCUAGGACUUCAAACAUGGACAGCCUUUGGCCAACCUUAGAACUGAAGAAGUGAGAUAACUGCAGCAUUCUGGGCCAGUCAUCACUGUUCCAACUGUGUAGGACUAAUCUUUGAGAGGCAUCAGCUGCAGCAGAG
rnacentral:lncRNA from 10 species